rnacentral:rRNA from 1 species
GCAUCGAUGAAGAACGCAGCCAGUUGCGAUAAGUAGUGUGAAUUGCAGAAUUCAGUGAAUCAUCGAAUCUUUGAACGCAAAUUGCGCUCUCUGGAUAUCCAGGGAGCAUGCCUGUCUGAGCGUCGUUUAACAAUCUACACACAAUUUGUGUGGAAAGAUCAUUCAUGCUUCAAUGUGUGUCGAUCUAUGGAUUUGAACCGUGUGGUACUCCUUUGUGUACUGCUUGGAAGGCUCAACUUGCUUCUGUCCUUCUCUGCAGUGUCAUGAUGUGUGUAUAACGUGUUCUCUUUCGACCUAGUCGAAAAUUCUUACUUUUGACCUCAGAUCAGACAAGACUACCCGCUGAAUUUAAGCAUAUCAAUAAGCGGAGG